GCUCGAGUGGCGGAAUGGUAGACGCUGAGGACUUAAAAUCCUUUGCCAGCAAUGGCGUGCGGGUUCGAAUCCCGCCUCGAGCACCA
rnacentral:tRNA from 1 species